AUGGUUCAAGGAUGAAAGACGGUUUCGGCUGUCACUUACAGAUGGACCCGCGGCGCAUUAGCUAGUUGGUGAGGUAACGGCUCACCAAGGCGACGAUGCGUAGCCGACCUGAGAGGGUGAUCGGCCACACUGGGACUGAGACACGGCCCAGACUCCUACGGGAGGCAGCAGUAGGGAAUCUUCCGCAAUGGACGAAAGUCUGACGGAGCAACGCCGCGUGAGUGAUGAAGGUUUUCGGAUCGUAAAGCUCUGUUGUUAGGGAAGAACAAGUGCAAGAGUAACUGCUUGCACCUUGACGGUACCUAACCAGAAAGCCACGGCUAACUACGUGCCAGCAGCCGCGGUAAUACGUAGGUGGCAAGCGUUGUCCGGAAUUAUUGGGCGUAAAGGGCUCGCAGGCGGUUUCUUAAGUCUGAUGUGAAAGCCCCCGGCUCAACCGGGGAGGGUCAUUGGAAACUGGGAAACUUGAGUGCAGAAGAGGAGAGUGGAAUUCCACGUGUAGCGGUGAAAUGCGUAGAGAUGUGGAGGAACACCAGUGGCGAAGGCGACUCUCUGGUCUGUAACUGACGCUGAGGAGCGAAAGCGUGGGGAGCGAACAGGAUUAGAUACCCUGGUAGUCCACGCCGUAAACGAUGAGUGCUAAGUGUUAGGGGGUUUCCGCCCCUUAGUGCUGCAGCUAACGCAUUAAGCACUCCGCCUGGGGAGUACGGUCGCAAGACUGAAACUCAAAGGAAUUGACGGGGGCCCGCACAAGCGGUGGAGCAUGUGGUUUAAUUCGAAGCAACGCGAAGAACCUUACCAGGUCUUGACAUCCUCUGACAACCCUAGAGAUAGGGCUUUCCCUUCGGGGACAGAGUGACAGGUGGUGCAUGGUUGUCGUCAGCUCGUGUCGUGAGAUGUUGGGUUAAGUCCCGCAACGAGCGCAACCCUUGAUCUUAGUUGCCAGCAUUUAGUUGGGCACUCUAAGGUGACUGCCGGUGACAAACCGGAGGAAGGUGGGGAUGACGUCAAAUCAUCAUGCCCCUUAUGACCUGGGCUACACACGUGCUACAAUGGACAGAACAAAGGGCUGCGAGACCGCAAGGUUUAGCCAAUCCCACAAAUCUGUUCUCAGUUCGGAUCGCAGUCUGCAACUCGACUGCGUGAAGCUGGAAUCGCUAGUAAUCGCGGAUCAGCAUGCCGCGGUGA
rnacentral:rRNA from 1 species